GAUGAACGCUGGCGGCGUGCCUAAUACAUGCAAGUCGAGCGAACAGACGAGGAGCUUGCUCCUCUGACGUUAGCGGCGGACGGGUGAGUAACACGUGGAUAACCUACCUAUAAGACGGGGAUAACUUCGGGACACCGGAGCUAAUACCGGAUAAUAUAUUGAACCGCAUGGUUCAAUAGUGAAAGACGGUUUUGCUGUCACUUAUAGAUGGAUCCGCGCCGCAUUAGCUAGUUGGUAAGGUAACGGCUUACCAAGGCGACGAUGCGUAGCCGACCUGAGAGGGUGAUCGGCCACACUGGAACUGAGACACGGUCCAGACUCCUACGGGAGGCAGCAGUAGGGAAUCGGCCGCAAUGGGCGAAAGCCUGACGGAGCAACGCCGCGUGAGUGAUGAAGGUCUUCGGAUCGUAAAACUCUGUUAUUAGGGAAGAACAAAUGUGUAAGUAGCUAUGCACGUCUUGACGGUACCGAAUCAGAAAGCCACGGCUAACUACGUG
rnacentral:rRNA from 1 species